ACGAACGCUGGCGGCGUGCUUAACACAUGCAAGUCGAACGGUAAGGCCCUUCGGGGUACACGAGUGGCGAACGGGUGAGUAACACGUGGGUAAUCUGCCCUGCACAUCGGGAUAAGCCUGGGAAACUGGGUCUAAUACCGAAUAGGACCACAGGACACAUGUCCUGUGGUGGAAAGCUUUUGCGGUGUGGGAUGGGCCCGCGGCCUAUCAGCUUGUUGGUGGGGUGAUGGCCUACCAAGGCGACGACGGGUAGCCGGCCUGAGAGGGUGUCCGGCCACACUGGGACUGAGAUACGGCCCAGACUCCUACGGGAGGCAGCAGUGGGGAAUAUUGCACAAUGGGCGAAAGCCUGAUGCAGCGACGCCGCGUGGGGGAUGACGGCCUUCGGGUUGUAAACCUCUUUCACCAUCGACGAAGGUCCGGGUUUUCUCGGGCUGACGGUAGGUGGAGAAGAAGCACCGGCCAACUACGUG
rnacentral:rRNA from 1 species